CCGAGGUGUACAUCCGCAAGCUGGCGGACACGCAGCAGAGCGUCGAGCUGCGGGUCGCGGUGAUGGGGGCGAACGAGGCGGGCAAGUCGACGCUCAUAGGCGUUCUCACUCAAGGUGAACUCGAUAACGGUAGAGGGAGCGCUCGCCUGAACAUAUUCAGGCAUUUGCACGAAGUGAAAAGUGGUAGGACGUCCUCGCUCAGCCACG